AACUUUUGAUAUUGAUGAAUUUACAAAUGAUUUACAGAAAAUAAAGAUUUCAGAAAAUUGUAAUGAAAAAGAUUUAAAUAAAAUAUAUGAUGAUUAUGAAGAAGACUUAGAUUUUAAAAACAUAUUAAAUAAACAUGCACCUGUAAAAUCUAGGUGUCAAAGAAAUAAACCACUUCCAUGUAUGAAUAAAGAACUGAGAGGGGCCAUAUAUAGAAAACAAAUGCUUUAUUCACAAUAUACUAAAAACCGGAGUGACAAAAAUUGGAAGAAAUUUAGAAAACAAAGAAAUUUGGUAACAAAGAUAAAGAGAA
rnacentral:lncRNA from 1 species